AGAAAGUUAGUCUAAACAAGACAGUUGAUUUCGACUCAACAAAUCAUAGCUCUUCCCUAUGACUUUCUC
rnacentral:tRNA from 1 species